rnacentral:lncRNA from 1 species
CCCCAACCAAACCCCUCAACCCCCACCGUUUACAUCCACCUCUAAUAUUCUCCUAUCUACUGCCACCACCUCACCACCACCAUCUCCGCCGCUGUCUCUCCAUUUCUUCAGUGUGUGUCUGUGUGUUUUUUCUUUCUUUCCCUAUAGACUCUGUUUGAUUAUGUACUCUUCUGUUUUAAAAGCUUACUAUCUUUGUUUUUAAUCUUAUCCAUUUCUUCCAAACUUCCCUUUUUUCUUUUCUUUAACUUAGCUUACUCUAAAACAACUCUUACACAAAAUUCUAUACCUUCACAAAUUUUCUUACUACUUCAAGUUAUUCCCUUUUGAUUUUUUCUUUUUCUGUAUUUCUACAUGUGAAUUAUCUUGAAUUCUAGCUUCAUACUUAAUGGGGUUUUUUUCCUUUCUUUACUAGUAGGAUUUAUGUGAAAAUCUUGAAUUUUUAAGUUUCUCUGAAUUUUAUCUACAGUUCUUUAGCUAUUUAAAUUAGCUCUAAAUGAACCAUCUUUGUUCCUAAAUUAAGGUCUUAAGUAUAGUAUAGUGUUGUCUUUUUUUUUAAUAUUUUAAGGGAAGAGAGUUAGGGAGAAAAAAAAAGGAAUUAAAAUG